GGAAAGGCGCGCGAUACAGGGUGACAGCCCCGUACACAAAAAUGCACAUGCUGUGAGCUCGAUGAGUAGGGCGGGACACGUGGUAUCCUGUCUGAAUAUGGGGGGACCAUCCUCCAAGGCUAAAUACUCCUGACUGACCGAUAGUGAACCAGUACCGUGAGGGAAAGGCGAAAAGAACCCCGGCGAGGGGAGUGAAAAAGAACCUGAAACCGUGUACGUACAAGCAGUGGGAGCACGCUUAGGCGUGUGACUGCGUACCUUUUGUAUAAUGGGUCAGCGACUUAUAUUCUGUAGCAAGGUUAACCGAAUAGGGGAGCCGAAGGGAAACCGAGUCUUAACUGGGCGUUAAGUUGCAGGGUAUAGACCCGAAACCCGGUGAUCUAGCCAUGGGCAGGUUGAAGGUUGGGUAACACUAACUGGAGGACCGAACCGACUAAUGUUGAAAAAUUAGCGGAUGACUUGUGGCUGGGGGUGAAAGGCCAAUCAAACCGGGAGAUAGCUGGUUCUCCCCGAAAGCUAUUUAGGUAGCGCCUCGUGAAUUCAUCUCCGGGGGUAGAGCACUGUUUC
rnacentral:rRNA from 2 species